GGGGGUGAGACCUAAGUCCCAGUGAAUGGAUAAUCCAUCUAACCAUAGAGAAACAGAAAAGUUCAGCUUUAAUACCCAUCAUAAUAUAUAGCUUACACUACUGAUAUAUUUUCAAAAUUUUUAUAUGCUAAACAAGAGCAAAACCAAGUAGUAAAUUAUUUUACUGAAGAAAAAUAAUGCUGGGCUACUGCCGACUACACCACAGGGCACCACUCCUAUGGC
rnacentral:lncRNA from 1 species